GUUAGAUCAAAAUUUUGAUUUGGGUAGAUAUGGGUUAGAUUUACACAGGAGGCAUCACCGGAAAAGCAUAGCUUCGCUGCCUUUUCUUCUUCGAUUGAUUGUCUUUUCACAGAACCACACACAUGGCGACGAUCGAAACUAAUCCACUACAAAUACUUAUGACCAAAAGUCUCAGAAAUGGAAAAGUAAAUAGUUUCAUCGGAUAUUCUCGAAGAAAAAUGUUG